AACGAACGCUGGCGGCGCGUCUUAAGCAUGCAAGUCGAACGGUAAGGGAGAGCUUGCUCUCCCCUAGGGUGGCGGACUGGUGAGUAACGCGUGGGUGACCUGCCCUGAAGAUGGGGAUAGCUAGUAGAAAUAUUAGAUAAUACCGAAUGUGCUCAUUUACAUAAAGGUAAAUGAGGAAAGGAGCUACGGCUCCGCUUCAGGAUGGGCCCGCGUCCCAUUAGCUAGUUGGUGAGGUAAAGGCCCACCAAGGCAACGAUGGGUAUCCGGCCUGAGAGGGUGAACGGACACAUUGGGACUGAGAUACGGCCCAAACUCCUACGGGAGGCAGCAGCUAAGAAUCUUCCGCAAUGGACGAAAGUCUGACGGAGCGACGCCGUGUGAAUGAAGAAGGCCGAAAGGUUGUAAAAUUCUUUUGCAGAUGAAGAAUAAGAAGAGGGAAUGCUUCUUUGAUGACGGUAGUCAUGCGAAUAAGCCCCGGCUAAUUACGUGCCAGCAGCCGCGGUAACACGUAAGGGGCGAGCGUUGUUCGGAAUUAUUGGGCGUAAAGGGUAUGUAGGCGGUUAGGUAAGCCUGGUGUGAAAUCUACGAGCUCAACUCGUAAACUGCAUUGGGUACUGCUUGACUUGAAUCACGGAGGGGAAACCGGAAUUCCAAGUGUAGGGGUGGAAUCUGUAGAUAUUUGGAAGAACACCGGUGGCGAAGGCGGGUUUCUGGCCGAUGAUUGACGCUGAUAUACGAAGGUGCGGGGAGCAAACAGGAUUAGAUACCCUAGUAGUCCAAGGGCGAAUUCCACAGUGGAUAUCAUGCUUAUCGAUACCGUCGACCUCGAGGGGGGGCCCGGUACCCAGCUUUUGUUCCUUUAUGAGGGUUAA
rnacentral:rRNA from 1 species